GGGCUGCACCGGCACACGCGAGCCCUGUUCCAGGCAACGUGUGCACCAUAACACACUCCGCACCUGGAACCACAGCCCUCCUGGUCUCAAGAAACACAAACAUUUCUUGAUUCCAUACUCACAUUGAUUGAAACAGAUCAUUCUCCAGUUGGGAAAUGAAAACAAAGUCUAAUAAUGGAACUGAUUUUAAAUUGUCACGAUUAUUGCACGACAUGCAUGCCUUGCAACUGAUAAGCUGCAAGAGUUCUUCCUGAUGUGCUGCCAACACUGACUCAAGUUGCUUUCUGAAGGCAUUAUCCAUUUUAUGAAGCUUUUCCACAGCAAUCCUAAAAAAAUUAUUGAAAAAAAAUCACUAUCCUGCAAACAACUGAAGUAUUUUGCUUUGUCCAGUUCUGCCUUUGAUAAGAUUUUAAUAACUUAAGCAUGAAGACAAUUAUAUAUUGGCAUCAGAAGUGUCCUGUUUGUUCAAGUAUAAUUUCUAGCUUUAUGCACCGUGUUUAGGACCUCUGGCAUUCUCUAAGGAGAGGUAUUUAAUCGCUAGCAAAGGAUAUGAAGAUUAGGGCUGUUACUGUCAACAUGGACAAGAACUCUACCUAUUUUCAAGCAGCUCCUUAUGCUUUUGAGUCCCAAGAAGUGAAUGAAAUGUGUGAUCCUGUGAACAGCCUGUGAGCCUGUGUCUCACAGAAACAGAAAAGUGUCUCCUUCACCAUAAAGAAGCAUUUCUUUAACUGCAAGCAAAUUCUGCUUAUAAGGGAUAAUUCUUAAAUAUACAGGAACAAAAUGCAAGGCAAUUUUACAUAAUAAUUAACAACAAAAUUCUGAAACAAACCAGAAUUAUUUAGAAUAAAAAUUUCAGUUUCACUAUUGAUCUUCUGACAGUUUCAAACCCCAAUCCUAUUGACUAUUUGAGGUGGUUUGUUUUGCUUGGCUUUUUUGUUAUUAAUGUUUGUUUUUGAUUUGUUGUGGUUCUGUUUUUUUAUUCUCAUGCAGUCUUAUUAACUAGCUGUUAUUUUAUCAAGAAUAGUUGGGAGGAAGGCAGAAAAACAUGAGAAGGGGAACAAAGAAUAAAGUAAAAAUCAUCAGUUUAGUAAACUUCUCCAUCAUUCCAGAAGCAUAUGAAAUAAUUGUUCAGAGUACCUGUUUCUGUAUCAUCUCAUACUUAACUAUUAAUUGAUUGAAGAAAUUGACAGUGCAAGAGGAACAAGAAAAUAAAUCUUGCUAUUUGUAUGGGAAAAGAAUGACAGGUAAUUUAGAAACCGUCUGUCACAGACUGAAACAGUAAUUAACAGACACCAAGUUGGGCAGGAGUGUUGAUCUGCUGGAGGACAGGAAGGCUCUACAGAAGGGAUUAGGACAGGUUGGAUUGAUGGGAUGAGGCCAAUUGUAUGAGGUUACUUUCAAAGAAAAUGGAAAUAAAGAAGUUCAGAUGCUGAAUGCUGUAACUGAAUGCCAAUUCCAUGAAGUAAGUCACUUUUCCAGCAAGAAUUCCUUCUAGGCCCAGUUUGUAACUGGGCUCACCAAGUAGUUAAAAAGGUGUUACACAUUAUUUCACCACAUAAUUGAGCAUUUCUGCACAGUUAUUGAUAGUGCAACUCUCCAGUAAUUGAACAGUCACAAAAUAAACUAUUACAAGUAUUCACCUUUGAGUUUGAAGACUUUUAUUUCUCUCUUCAAUCAGCUUCUUCUCUUUGAAAUCAAAGUUCUCCUUCAUUUGUUUAACCUGCACCUCCAGCUGGCUUAAUAGCUCUCCUUUACCUUGCCACCUCUUUUUCAGUGCACUGUAAAAAAAAUGCACAUAUUUACAAUGAAUAUAAAUACCACUUCUUAGGAAGGCAGAAAAGUUUCUCAAGUUUUUCCUCAUUUCUGUGGGUUUUCAUAGCAAGCAAGAAUAACUUCAGAGCAGUGUUGCAUACAAUGAUCCCAAAGAAUUAUUGUGAUUUGUAUGUAUCACCUGUGUGCAUUCUUAAUGUCAUCAAGUUCCACUUCUUUUUCUUCUAGCAGUUGCUUUAAUUCCUCUUUUCUUUCAUUUUGCCUUUCUAAUUUUUUCAUUAGCUUUUCACAUUCAGUAGCUUUUUCAUCCAACUGUAUUUGAAGCAAUUUCUGAGAUUCCCGAUUUUCUUCAUGGUGUUUUUUGAUUUGUUUAUCUUUUUCUUGUAAGCCCUUUAGAAGAUAAAUACUUCAGAACACACAAACUCCCUUAACUUUAUUGUUACCCCUUAAGAGUAUGUGUUUAGUCUAUGAUGGAAUAAAGCAGAGAACAUAAAAGUUUACUCUUCUGAAUGUAUGAAGAACACUUAAUAAAGUGAUAUUCAGAAUCUUCAUCUGACAGAAGUCUGAAUUUAAAAAAAAGUCAUUAAAACAUAAAUCUGAAGUUGAAAGCAAGAUAAGAAUAAAGUUAUUUUGAACUCUUAUUCUACAUAAGAGUUGAAUAAACAACUUAUAUGUAAGUCACUGAGCUCACAAUCUGUGUAACAAUAACUUAUGCAUCUAACUUUGACUGAUGUAACACUAUAAAACUUUGAUUAUUUAUUAAGCUAAGCGUUCAAGUCUCUAAAUGAGACAAAUGGAAUUAUUGGGACAAAACAUAUUACUUCUGCUGCCAAAAUGCUAUUUUACACGAACAAAAUAAAUAAAAAAUAUUUAUGCUGUAAAACAAAUGUGAGGCAAACUGUUAAAAAUAAUUUUUCCUUUUAAACACUUGAGAAGAAUUAUGCUAUCUUGGUUUCAUCUCUCUCAAAAUCAUUAUCAUGAAUAAAGUGAAGCAAGACAAAGAGAAGAAAGUCUGUACAUAAAUAUGGUUCAAUGAGCUGUUCAAAGUAGUAUCACUGUGCAUGUAUUUAAUAAAAAGCCCCCUUCUGCUCUCAGUGAAAUGAAUUGCCAUGGAAAGCCUGACUGUGAUUUGUGAGUCUGAAAACUGGAAGUGCAGACCCAGCUUUUAUCAAAGGGUUUGUGACAGCUAAAAUGAAAACUUGCAGUGAAAGUUAAGCACACAAACUGUCAGAUAUGGCACUUACUUCUUUUAGUUUCCUAAUUGUUUCUGUCUGAUCAUCCACUAUUUUGUUUUUAAUUUUUAUGGUAUCACUGUCCUGUUCCUUCUGCUUUUUUAACAUGUCAAUCUCAUUUGUUAAAACUUCAAUUUUUGCCUCCAGUUUCCCCCGAUCUUGUGCAAGAUGAGCUCCUGGACAAAACAGGAUACCGAUUUCAAGAUGUGGAAUGUUGGGAGAUUGGGCUGGGGGAGGUAAAGUGGAAUUGAUGGAUGACAGAAGAAAAUGCAAGCAACCAGGCCAAAAACUGCCAUAGAAGUGAAAUAAAAUACAUCCUCUCUCAGCUGGCACUACAAGAACUCCACUACAUUUGUUAAUAUCUACAUGCAAUUAUUUUUGUAACCUCCAGCUUUAGUUUGAUCAGGAGACAUGUUUAGCUUCAGAUGAUGAUAUAUGUAACUUGAAAUGAUACAACACCUACUCGGUAU